CAACGGCUUCCCUUGGAUUGCACACACCGACUCCACUGCACCCACCACGCUGAAGGCCCAGCACCCUCCACACUGCAGAGAAGAAUUGAUUGGAUUCAUGAAUAAUCCACUACUUAUCAAGACUGCAAAUGAUUAACCAAAUGACUUGAUGAACCUACAAACCAUGAACAGUCUGACCAGAGGUGUCACUAGAACACUGCUCAUAUGACGAGGUAAUCAUCCUCUGCAGCUACAUGGACCUGCAUUAAUUAUAUUUAAUGCAGUGAUUGGCAGAGAGCACUCAGGAAUUCAUUUUCUUUAUGACUAGCAUAUGAUAUAUGCUUGAAAGUUGUUUCACCCAGGUCUAUCUUGCAUGGGAUAAAAAGGAUCUACAGAAGAGAUGCAUCCUAAAGAGCUCCUGGAGGAAAGUCCGGUUUUCCGAUCUAGCUGGAAUGAAAAAAUGUAACCCUCACUGUACUUUGUCAUAAUUUAUCUUAGCUUGCCUUUUCUGUGAAGGGGUUUCAAUCUCCUAACUCUAUCUUCUACCUCAUUAUUCAGGUUACAUGAAACUUCAGAGGACUUCCAUUCCCUGAGCUUCUAAUUCUAGCUUGUGCACAUAAAGGGGUGUGUGUGUGUGUGUGUGUGUGUGUGUGUGUGUGUGUGUGUGUGUGCAUGUGUGAGACCAAUAAGCAAAACCAGGGCAAGUUCAUCAGUCCCACUGUCACUGUGUCACCCUCACUGAGGACAUGCCUAGAACACAAGAAAUCUUCAAUAACUAUCUGUUGUGAUGUUUAAUAACUACAUAAGUGAAAUGUCCCAGACCCCCCCCUACCUUCAUCAGCUAGUUAUUAUGGAGACCACUGCAGAGUCAACAUAGUCUUAAUUCUCCCUUAUCCAAUAUGACUAGAAGGGUUGUUAAUCAGUGAAUUCUAAAUGAUUUUUAAAGUAUUUUAUUUAUUAUUUUUAUUUUAUGUGUGUGAGUGUAUUGCCUGCACAUAUGUG